CGACCUUUACCGAUUGAAAAAUCUGAACUAGAAUAACAAUUAACUAUACCCAAAAAGAAAUUACAGUACGAGAAAUCAAGGGUAUUUAUUCCAGCAAUAAAAUUCAGAAUUGCGACAUAAUGAGCUUAUAAUCCAGCUAUUAUAAAAAUUAUCUCCAUUAAUCUCAAUUGUGUAUCAUUUUGGCAUGUUUACAGCAAACGCAGCGUGUAUUGAACACGAAUUUUCAUGUUUGGAAACAAAGAGGUCUACUUCCUGAUUUUGGAACAUUCUUCCGUGGGAACGGAGUUUUAUAAAAUGUGGGGCUAGCCACGCCAAUAUUUAGUUAAAGCACAGCUGUCGGGGGAGAAACAUCAAACAAACAAGAAAUCACUCAAGAGAAAUAAGGAAAUUAUAUCAAAGACUUCUGUAAGUACUGUGUACCGGCCAUAUUUCCUCAGACGUUUAAUUAAUUUAAUUUACAAUGAAUGAAUGAAUGACCAUUUGAACGUCGAGAAUU